AUUGAGUCUAUGUCAUGUAUGUCUGACUGGCAGGGUUCAUCAGACAUUGAGCUAAAUGUCAUGGGUUCAUUGGUCAAUGUUGAAUUUUUGUGGUUUUGUCUAUUUUUCAAUGUUUCUCAGAUGUGAUAUAAAAAAGAAGAUGUGGUAUGAUUGCCAAUGAGACAACUAUCCACAAAAGACCAAAAUGACACAGACAUUAACAACUAUAGGUCACCGUACGGCCUUCAACAAUGAGCAAAGCCCAUACCGCAUAGUCAGCUAUAAAAGGCCCCGAUAAGACAAUGUAAAACAAUUCAAACGAGAAAACUAACGGCCUUAUAUAUGGGGAAAAAAAUGAACGAAAAACAAAUAUAUAACACAUAAACAAACGACAACCACUGAAUAUACAGGUUCCUGACUUGGGACAGGCACAUACAUAAAUAAUGUGGCGGGGUUAAACAUGUUAGCGGGAUCCCAACCCUUCCCCUAACCUGGGACAGUGGUAUAACAGUAUAACAUAAGAACGAACUAUAAAAAAGUGAUAAGCUACAUCAUGUACAUUGUACAUGUAUAGGAUCACUAUUUUUUUUGGCAUAUGACAUGAAUGUUAGGUGUACAUGUUUGAUUGGCCGGC
rnacentral:lncRNA from 1 species